rnacentral:rRNA from 1 species
UACGAAGGGGGCUAGCGUUGCUCGGAAUCACUGGGCGUAAAGGGUGCGUAGGCGGGUCUUUUAAGUCAGGGGUGAAAUCCUGGAGCUCAACUCCAGAACUGCCUUUGAUACUGAGGAUCUCGAGUCCGGAAGAGGUGAGUGGAACUGCGAGUGUAGAGGUGAAAUUCGUAGAUAUUCGCAAGAACACCAGUGGCGAAGGCGGCUCACUGGUCCGGUACUGACGCUGAGGUGCGAAAGCGUGGGGAGCAAACAGG